CUCUCUUACCUUACUAAGAUUCUUGCUUCUUCCUCAUCCAUGAUUCUUGAUUCUAUCUGCCACUCUUCCCCAUUCUCCACCACUCUCCCUUUUUUAGUUACACCUUACAAUAUCGUCACCACUUAUUCCAAUUCAAGCACCAAGUCCACCUUUGUUGAUCGAGAGAGAGAGAGAGAGAAAGAGAAGGCAUGGAAAGUGAGAACAAAAGCCCUCCU
rnacentral:lncRNA from 1 species